rnacentral:rRNA from 1 species
GACGAACGCUGGCGGCGUGCCUAAUACAUGCAAGUUGAGCGCUGAAGGUUGGUACUUGUACCAACUGGAUGAGCAGCGAACGGGUGAGUAACGCGUGGGGAAUCUGCCUUUGAGCGGGGGACAACAUUUGGAAACGAAUGCUAAUACCGCAUAAAAACUUUAAACACAAGUUUUAAGUUUGAAAGAUGCAAUUGCAUCACUCAAAGAUGAUCCCGCGUUGUAUUAGCUAGUUGGUGAGGUAAAGGCUCGCCAAGGCGAUGAUACAUAGCCGACCUGAGAGGGUGAUCGGCCACAUUGGGACUGAGACACGGCCCAAACUCCUACGGGAGGCAGCAGUAGGGAAUCUUCGGCAAUGGACGAAAGUCUGACCGAGCAACGCCGCGUGAGUGAAGAAGGUUUUCGGAUCGUAAAAAUCUGUUGGUAGAGAAGAACGUUGGUGAGAGUGGAAAGCUCAUCAAGUGACGGUAACUACCCAGAAAGGGACGGCUAACUACGUG